rnacentral:rRNA from 1 species
CGGCGGACGGGUGAGUAACGCGUGGGUAAUCUACCUCGUAGUUCGGGAUAACAGGCCGAAAGGCUUGCUAAUACCGGAUGAGUUCAUGCUUAUGCAUAUAGGCAUGAAGAAAGGGCUAGCCCGCUAUGAGAUGAGCCCGCGUCCCAUUAGCUUGUUGGUGGGGUAAUGGCCUACCAAGGCAACGAUGGGUAGCCGGCCUGAGAGGGUGUACGGCCACACUGGGACUGAGACACGGCCCAGACUCCUACGGGGGGCAGCAGUAGGGAAUUUUCGGCAAUGGGCGAAAGCCUGACCGAGCGACGCCGCGUGAGGGACGAAGGCCUUCGGGUUGUAAACCUCUGUCUGGGGGGAUGAGAACGGACGGUACCCCCGGAGGAAGCCCCGGCUAACUACGUGCCAGCAGCCGCGGUAAUACGUAGGGGGCUAGCGUUGUCCGGAAUUACUGGGCGUAAA